CUGCUCGUGCUGGCCAAACACCUCUGGAACCUGCUCACCACGGAUGCAUUUCCGGGACGUGGCUUCCACUGGAAACACGACUGGAAGACGUGAUGCUUUGACUUAUUUCAUUUGAGGUGUAAAUGACUCACACUGCAUCCUUUCUUCAUCUAUUAUUGCAUUUCCCUGCAAGUUGCUGAGGAAUUUUCAAAGGAGAUUUCUUCCUAAGGACAGGUCUUCACGGGGGAGCUGCAUUUAGAUCCUCAAGUAGCUGAAGGCCAGGACACAGCCAGCUAGGGCUGGGGCAGCCGGAGUCCACCUCAUUGACUUACCUGAUUUCUCUAAGACUGGUUCUGUGAUUGCAGAACCGUGGGUUCCUCAGGCGGCGUCUGUCUGUCCUUCACCAGGCCAGGGCCGCUGAGCAGCAUGCAGCCUCCUGUGCUCCUGCACGCAGGAGGGAAGCAGAGAACAUGGACUGGGUGCCCACGGGAAAGCAGAUGAUGCUGAAGAUGGAGCUGAAGAAUUGCUUCCUGCAGGGAGCCUUCCAUGAUUGAUCACAUCACACCAUCGUCAAUGUUCUAUUCUGUGUCUUCUCACUGCCAGGGAACUCAAUUAGCAGAUGUAUCACCUAAUAGGUUGUCAGUUGAAAUAUGAGUUCACAUCCUGGGUUUGAAAACCAAAAUUUCACAUGCCUUUCUUACAUGUAGAAUAAAUAGACCUUUAUCUAAGGA